UACGUAGGGGGCAAGCGUUGUCCGGAAUUAUUGGGCGUAAAGAGCGUGUAGGCGGUCCGGUAAGUCAGCUGUGAAAGCCGAGGGCUCAACCCUUGAAUGCCGGUUGAUACUGUCGGGCUAGAGUCCGGAAGAGGCGAGUGGAAUUCCCGGUGUAGCGGUGAAAUGCGCAGAUAUCAGGAGGAACACCGAUGGCGAAGGCAGGUCUCUGGGCCACUACUGACGCUGAGAAGCGAAAGCAUGGGGAGCGAACAGG
rnacentral:rRNA from 1 species